GCGGGCAGGCGGACGGGCUUGCAGGAAAUGCAGCCGGGAGGAUGAGCAGGUUGUGGGAUGCUCCGCCGUUCCGCGACCACCCGCCUCCCCGGCCCAGCAGAACCGGGUCCAGGCUGGGGGAGGUGCUAGUGGUGUUUUAAGUCCACCUGGCCUGGAGGAGGACAGGUGUGCAAAAGAAAAUAUCUCAGGACCCCCAAACUCCUUAUGCCAAGGGAAACAUCAAGCCUGGGAACUGAGCCAUCAACCCUGCCAUGCUUUUUCCCAAACAGAUCCCUGUUGUCAGAGGCACAUCCAGAGCAACUCCACACCAGGUGCAUGCCACAGCAACUCCAUCUUAAAUAGGAGCUGGUAAAACGAGGCUGAUACCUACUGGGCUGCAUUCCCAGACGGCAUAGCGAGGAGGUGCUGAAGAGCGCAGGUUUGGAGAAUAAUCACCUGGAUUGGAACCAUAGCUCUACCAAUAUGGAACCCAGCUCCUUAAGCCUCAGUCUUCUCAUGGAGAACAUGGUGUGAUAAUCCUACUCCUCUGGGAGGGUGGCUGUUAAGCCUUGGACUGCAGUUGCUGGCCAGGAAUCCCAGCGUCGCAGUGGACACGCCUCCCUCGCGCCCUUGCCGCCCACCUGCUCACCCAGCUCAGGGGCUUUGGAAUUCUGUUGCCACACUGCUGGGAGAUCGGUUCUGGGUCGGAGGCUACAUGAAAACUCCCACUCCCUGAAAUCUGGAGUGGAGAACACCGCCAUCCAGCCACCAUUCCAAG
rnacentral:sRNA from 1 species